rnacentral:rRNA from 1 species
AUUGACCGCUGGCGGCAGGCCUAACACAUGCAAGUCGAACGAGUGGCGGACGGGUGAGUAAUGUCUGGGAAACUGCCCGAUGGAGGGGGAUAACUACUGGAAACGGUAGCUAAUACCGCAUACCAUCGGAUGUGCCCCGAUGGGAUUAGCGAGUAGGGGGGGUAAGGGCUCACCUAGGCGACGAUCCCUAGAUGGUCUGAGAGGAUGACCAGCCACACUGGAACUGUGACACGGUCCAGACGCCUACGGGAGGCAGCAGUGGGGAAUAUUGCACAAGGGGCGCAAGCCUGAUGCAGCCAUGCCGCGUGUAUGAAGAAGGCCUUCGGGUUGUAAAGUACUUUCAGCGAGGAGGCGUUACUCGCAGAAGAAGCACCGGCUAACUCCGUACCAGCAGCCGCGGUAAUUC